AAAAAAUUCAGCGCACUUCCCCUGUCCCAUCUCUCUCACUUUUCACAAAAAAAACUACCGUCACCACCAUCACCGACUGGGGGUUCUGAGGGAGAUGGUGACCAUUAUUUAUUGUUAGCCGGAGCAACACCACAUCCCCAUCUCUUUAUCUCUCUCAGCGGCGAUGUAACUCGAUGAAGAUGGUAAUCUGACGAACAUGGCAAGCAGCGACAUUGUCACAGUGUUAGGGUUUCUAUGGAUCGAACGUCCUCCCUCCUAAACGACCUACAUUUUUUCGUCUUCAGCUUUCUAGAUCAUUGGUGGCUUAGGUUUUAAAAAACCCUAACUUCAUUUGGUGGUGGCGAGCUAUGGUGAGUGACAAUGGUUUAGGCUCUAAAAACUCUAGGUCUGGCGGGACUUGUGGUUCCAGGUACGUGGUGGUUUCUGGUAAACAAAAAAGGAGAAGGUAGGCGGUGGUGCUUUAGAUCUACGAAGAACAGAUGGCUUGGUUGGAGAAAGAAUGGAGGUUUGGGCGAUGGUUUUUGGUAGGGUAAGGACAAUGAAAUCGUAGCACCCACUAUCUGAUAGAAAACCCUUUGUUGGAUCAGUUGCUUAUAAUAAACCCUAGCAUCGCCGCCACCGGGUAGAGCUGAAGUUUUCAUAUCUGGAAAAUCGAACCACAAUUUCUUCCAUUUUCUAAGCUUUCUCGUAAAACCCACUUCCAUAUCCAAUUCUUUUGAUCUUGGCACUCAUCCUCUCCUUUAUUUCAAUGGUACUCCUCUUAGGCCGGACGGAGUGGUGAGCGGGGAAGGCGCAGGAAACGAUCCCGCACCAAGAAACACCACACCGGGGGGUGCGGGAAAGGAAAGGCGGGAAGAAGGUUGUAAGCGAGAGAUAGAGGAAGAAGAUGAAGCUUCUGAAAAUGACAUAUGUAGCCUCUAUGUUUUCGUUUAUGGCAGAAUAUACUUAACUUUAAAAUCUUUUCACAAAAAUAAUUUUCAAAAAUUACAAAAUAGAUCCUACACUUUUAAUUUUCAACUAAUUUAAAUAUUAGGUUAAUUGUAAUUUUUAUUUUAAUUAAUUAAAUGCUGUUUAUUUUUAAUUAAAUUUUAUGUUUAUUAUUAAUUUAAAAAUUAUAAAUCAUAAAAAAAAUAUUAAAAAAAAAGUGAGGGAACGGCUUCCCACCUAUUCCUUGGCUUUUAGGUGAGGGAAAAGAGAAUGAGGAAAAAAGGGGUAUGGCCCACCAAAAGUGAGGGAAGCUUCCCUCCCACUCUUUCUAGUCUUAUGAAGCUACUGUAGUAGUUUCAUUCUAUUGUUCUUGAAAAUUGGUUUUGAUUAAUUUGAUUUUAAUCUUAUGAGUUGUUAAAGAGGAA